rnacentral:rRNA from 1 species
AUUCCAGCUCCAAUAGCGUAUAUUAAAGUUGUUGCAGUUAAAACGCUCGUAGUCGGAUUUCGGGGCGGGCCGACCGGUCUGCCGAUGGGUAUGCACUGGCCGGCGCGUCCUUCCACCCGGAGACCGCGCCUACUCUUAACUGAGCGGGCGCGGGAGACGGGUCUUUUACUUUGAAAAAAUCAGAGUGUUUCAAGCAGGCAGUCGCUCUUGCAUGGAUUAGCAUGGGAUAAUGAAAUAGGACUCUGGUGCUAUUUUGUUGGUUUCGAACACCGGAGUAAUGAUUAAUAGGGACAGUUGGGGGCAUUCAUAUUCCAUUGUCAGAGGCGAAAUUCUUGGAUUAACGGAAGAUGAACUUCUGCGAAGGCAUCUGCCAAGGAUGUUUUCAUCA